rnacentral:rRNA from 1 species
AUGGCCGGCGGCGACGCCAAGCCCCUCGCCGGCGGCGCCUUCCUCCGCUUCCUCCUCCCGGCCCCCAAGCCGGAGCCGACCCCUCCCGCCCGCCUCGCCCCGCCGCACUGCCUCGUCGCGCCCGCCCAGCCGGACCCGCCCCCCGGCGCCCUGCCGGACGAGCGCCUCUUCAUCGUGGCCCCCACGCGCCCCGCCUGGCUCCCUCCGCAGCCGCGGCCGCAGCCGCAGCACCCUUUCUCAGUCCCUCCGGCGCGGCGCGUCCACCCGGCCGCCGGCGCCGCGCGCAAUGCGGGCCGCUUCGCCGCCGGCCGGGGCGGCCAGGCGAGGCGGAGGGCCGGGGAUUUCGCCGGGAGCAGGGCCCGCGCGGGCCCAGAUAGGCGGAAGGCGGGCGGGGGCCUCGCCGUGAAGGCGAACGGAGGCGAGGCCGGCGCCGGGGACAGGCGGGCGGCGGCGGCGGCGCGGAGGGAGAAGAGGGUGUGGGUUGCCGUGGAGAGGAAGGGCGCAAGUGGCGGCAGCGACGCCGACGACCCGGCGGCCGUGGGUGGGGGAUACGCGGGCGGAGACGAGGCCGGGGGGAGCGUCGAAGGGGAAGAGCAGCUGGAACCGGACGACGGCGAUGGCCGGCGUCUCGGGGAGGAAUUGGAGGAUUCUCUCCUCAUCGCCGGCGAUCAAGAGUGCCAUGACAGCGACGGCGGCCAGCAGUCAAGCGAGAACACCAUGUCGCAAUCGAAUCAGUCACGGCGGCUGCAAAUCAGAACACACACGGGGUGGAUGGAAUGCCGCCAUGACAUCGGCACCUUCGCCCCCGGCUUGCUCUCCAUCUACGAAUCCCUCAAGCCGUCAGAGGAUCACAUGUCCAAGCAGAGCCGGCUCAUCGACUCCCUAACAAAGUCAGUGAGCAAAGAAUGGCCCAACGCCCAGCUGCAUCUCUACGGAUCAUGCGCCAAUUCCUUUGGAACUUCCCACAGCGACGUCGAUGUCUGCCUCGAAAUCGAUAUCGGCACGGGGAGCGAGGUGGAGCUUCUUCUGCGGCUGGCGGAGAUCUUGCGCGGCGAUAAUUUCGACAGUGUGGAGGCGAUUACCAGUGCUAGAGUGCCCAUUGUGAGGAUGUUGGAUGCAGGGAGUGGCUUCUCUUGUGACAUUUGCAUCAACAAUCUGCUUGCUGUCGCCAACACGAAGCUUCUCAAGGAUUAUGCGCAGAUAGAUGGUAGAUUGCUUCAGCUGGCCUCCAUUGUCAAGCACUGGGCCAAACUGAGGGGUGUCAAUGAGACAUACCGCGGAACCCUCUCCAGCUAUGCAUAUGUGCUUAUGUGCAUCAGUUUCUUACAGCUGAGGGAGCCCAAGAUUCUCCCCUGUUUGCAGGCUAUGGAACCCACAUAUACCAUGGUUGUUGAUGACACUGAAUGCGCUUAUUUCGACGAAGUUCAUCAGCUUCAUGAUUUUGGGGCUGAAAACAAGGAGACCGUCGCGGAAUUACUCUGGGCAUUUUUCCAUUACUGGGCAUUCCAGCAUGAUUACAGGAAAGAUGUCAUCUCCAUCCGUAUGGGAAAGAUAAUCAGCAAGAAGGAGAAGAACUGGACGACUCGCAUUGGAAACGACCGCCAUCUGAUCUGCAUCGAGGACCCUUUCGAGACCGGCCAUGACUUGGGCCGCAUAGUCGACAGGCAGACAAUCAGGAUCAUCAGGGAGGAGUUUGAGAGAGCCGCUGCCAUGCUGCAGCAUGAUGAUGAUCCUUGCUCAACCCUUUUCGAGCCCUACAAUUAUGAAAACUAA